AUGGCGGUGGUGGAUUGCGGUGGUGCACACGGAGUCCUAGAGUGGAUGAGAAGAAACAUUUAAGUGCUCCAGACGCACUUGAGUGAUAGUCACUCUUGAGUUCCCAACCCUCAGCCUGCUCUGCAAGUGAUGGCCUGAAGACAGGGAGCUACCUUUUACUUCUUCAUACAGUCAACAAAAAACUUCUUGAUUGAAUUUGAUUCAUCUGUCAUUUGUGAAAUUAAAGACUUAAAAGAGA